GUCUCCGUAGGUGAACCUGCGGAGGGAUCAUUACAGAGUUCAUGCCCUACCGGGUAGAUCUCCCACCCUAUGUUAUUAUUACUUUGUUGCUUUGGCGGGCCGUUAGGCUCCGGCCCGACUACCGGCCCCGGCUGGUAAGCGCCCGCCAGAGGACCCAAAACCCUGAAUAUUAGUGUCGUCUGAGUACUAUAUAAUAGUUAAAACCUUCAACAACGGAUCUCUUGGUUCUG
rnacentral:misc_RNA from 1 species